rnacentral:rRNA from 1 species
UGGAAAGAUGUAUGGAUUGGUGAUGUUCUGGCCGACACCCAUCCCAGAGCCUUCUCCUUUGCGCGGCUGGAAGAUAUAUCUAUGAGGGAUUUCUUGCGCAGCACGUCACUUGGUAAAACGUUCCUCCUACCCCUCUCUGCGCAAGCUCUUGAUGAAACCCGUGACCUACAACAACAAACCAUGCAGAUUGAUCUUAUGGAUCCUAAUUCGGCCAAUGACGAAUGGAACUGUGUCUGGGGAUCAGAAUACUCAACCAACAGAUUCUACACCUUCUACUUUAAAGAUGUCCAGGUGCACCGUACAUACAAAUGGAUAUAG